rnacentral:rRNA from 1 species
GCUUUAUAUUUGAAUUUUAUUAUUUAUUUAGGUUAAUUUUUAUAAUAAUUGUAAAAAUAUUUUGUUGGGGUGACAAGAAGAUAUAAAAAACUCUUUUUAGUUUAUUUACAUUGAUAUAUGAAUUGUUGAUCCUUUAUUAUCGAUUAUAAGACUAAGU